rnacentral:rRNA from 1 species
CCUACGGGGGGCUGCAGUCGAGAAUCAUUCACAAUGGGGGAAACCCUGAUGGUGCGACGCCGCGUGGGGGAAUGAAGGUCUUCGGAUUGUAAACCCCUGUCAUGUGGGAGCAAAUUAAAAAGAUAGUACCACAAGAGGAAGAGACGGCUAACUCUGUGCCAGCAGCCGCGGUAAUACAGAGGUCUCAAGCGUUGUUCGGAAUCACGGGGCGUAAAGCGUGCGGAGGCUGUUUCGUAAGUCGUGUGUGAAAGGCGCGGGCUCAACCCGCGGACGGCACAUGAUACUGCGAGACUAGAGUGAUGGAGGGGGAACCGGAAUUCUCGGUGUAGCAGUGAAAUGCGUAGAUAUCGAGAGGAACACUCGUGGCGAAGGCGGGUUCCUGGACAUUAACUGACGCUGAGGCACGAAGGCCAGGGGAGCGAAAGGGAUUAGAUACCCGAGUAGUC